GGCUGGGUGGCCUAGUGGUAAAGGCACCCCAUCACUAGUGGGAAGACCCAAGUUCAAUCCCUGGUCUGGCCA